rnacentral:rRNA from 1 species
AUGCUGCUCGCAGGAAGUGGCGGUGGCGGCGGCUGCCACACCAGCGGAGCUGUCCAAUGCCGCAGCAGGGCCUACCACGGCACCGGCAAGCUGCCUGCACUGCAAGCGGGGAGCGACGCCGGCGGCGACCUGGGAGGCAGCAGAGGUGCUGCUAGCAGGGAGCGGCGGCGGCGGCGACCGACCCUCCAGUGGAGCUAUUCAACGCCGCAGCGGGGCCCUACAACGGCUUCGGCACGUUGCCUGCGCAGGGGCCUACCACGGCGCCGCGAUUUCCUCUGGCUUGUCGACAAGGUGUCAGGAUAA